AGCGAACGCUGGCGGCAGGCCUAACACAUGCAAGUCGAACGAACCUUUCGGGGUUAGUGGCGGACGGGUGAGUAACACGUGGGAACGUGCCUUUAGGUUCGGAAUAACUCAGGGAAACUUGUGCUAAUACCGAAUGUGCCCUUCGGGGGAAAGAUUAAUCGCCUUUAGAGCGGCCCGCGUCUGAUUAGCUAGUUGGUUGAGGUAAUGGCUCACCAAGGCGACGAUCAGUAGCUGGUCUGAGAGGAUGAUCAGCCACAUUGGGACUGAGACACGGCCCAAAAUCCUACGGGAGGGAGGAAUGGGGGAUCUUGCGCAAUGGGGGGAAGGCUGAAGGCACCCUGCCGGGUGAAUUAUUGAGGUCUUAAGAAUGGUAAAUUCUUUUAACCGGGGCGGUUAUGACGGGACCCGGAGAAGAAGCCCCGGCUAACUUCGUG
rnacentral:rRNA from 1 species